rnacentral:rRNA from 1 species
ACGAACGCUGGCGGCGUGCUUAACACAUGCAAGUCGAGCGGUAAGGCCCUUUCGGGGGUACACGAGCGGCGAACGAGUGAGUAACACGUGGGUGACCUGCCCUCAGCUCUGGGAUAAGCCUGGGAAACCGGGUCUAAUACUGGAUAUGACUCCAUGACGCAUGUUGUGGGGUGGAAAGCCUUGUGCGGCUGAGGAUGGGCCCGCGGCCUAUCAGCUUGUUGGUGGGGUGANGGCCUACCAAGGCGACGACGGGUAGCCGGCCUGAGAGGGCGACCGGCCACACUGGGACUGAGACACGGCCCAGACUCCUACGGGAGGCAGCAGUGGGGAAUCUUGCGCAAUGGGCGAAAGCCUGACGCAGCGACGCCGCGUGAGGGAUGACGGCCUGGUGUAAC